CCAAGUCCCAAGGCAUUCUAACCUCACCCCACCAACUCCGCAGCUUCCAAAAAGAGAGUGACUUCCUGUGUUACCCAGGGUUAUAUGCCUUGCUAUUCUGCCAUCUGAUUUGCUCUCUGUCUAGUUACAUCACUUCCUCUUCCUGGCCAGCUCUGUCACUUCAUGUCUGUACAGGCCUC